rnacentral:lncRNA from 1 species
AGGUGCCAUUUGUCUCGGUUAAAGACAGAUCCAGAGAAAAUGUUUUUCUACUACACCCAAAAAGUGACUGCCUGCACAGAAUCUGGUCAGUACUGGACACAGCAUAACAGUGACACAAGCACACACAUAUACAGACACAGCACCCCUCUCUCACACAUACACACACAUUCAUUCAUUCAUUCAACAUCAGAUUUCAGUGAAUUGAAAUGUGUACUGUAAAAUUUAGUCACAAAAUAUCCGAUUUGGAAAAAUUCUCCAACUUCGAUAAACUUGCGACUUGGUUCUGUAAUUUGGUUUUCCAUUCUCUAGAAUUUGGUGUUUGGUUAAUAAAUAAAAAAUAUGUAACAAUGCAUUCUGAACAUAUACUUCUCUUAGAAACAUAUAAGAUAUUCUAUAUUUGCAGACGUGACCUUGCAUUGUUUGGGGCUAGAGUGGGAACUUCAUCGCAUAUACAUGAAAAAAUCUGCCACAUUAACAGAACUGCUCAGAGAGGCUAUGCUCUACAAAGAAGAAGAUUUCACCCAGGAUCUCCAUAAUCCAAACAAUGCAGGUAAAUAUAUAAGUAACAAAUCUCUAUUUCAACUAGAUGGAUUUAACUAAUUGUACGGGAAUUUUCACUAAAAUGUGAAUUGUCUGGGAUUCAAAGUGAAUUUCAAAUUUCACAUGUAUUGAUCAUCAGGGCCGUCUUUAGCGCGGGGCAAACGGGGCAGCUGGCCUGGGCCCAGUUGCUCCUGAGGGGUCCCAGAGCAGCUGCCCCGUGGGCCCAGCGAUUUGCACAGCCACCAUGGACCAAGCGAUGCGGCUGCACAGCGCCGCACCGGCCCGCCCACUAAGGAGGCACCCUGGGUGGUCCAUGCACUAAGGGCCACCCGGUUGGCAUGUGUCAGCAGGAACACGGUCAGGCGUUGUGACGCUUAAACAGCGCGACCGGGCCCCUUCCUGUUUGGCAGCCGGCUGGGAGGAAGUGAGUGCCGCGCGUCACUUCCUCCCACCGAGAUCAGAGCCUUGCGGGAGGAGGAAGGCAGGGAGGAGGAGAGUUCCAUAGGAUAACUCCCAACUGCCUCAGCCUGCCACUGGACCCCAGGGAAACCACCCUCCAGAAAAAGGUAAGAACCUGGAGGGUGGCUAAAUGUAUGUCAGUAUGUCUGUGUGUGUGUGUAUGUCAAUAUGUCUCGGACCAGGAUUGCAGGGUCGCGGCUACAAAGACUAUUACACACGAACAUACUUGACUUUGGGUGAGAUGCUAACAGACUCAGGGGUUAAACCAUUUUCAUCUAUUAAACAUACAAACACUCCCAUGGUCAUGGAAAAAUUUAAUUAUGACCAACUUACACAUUUUAUAUGCUCGGUCUAUUCACGAGCAGAGAACAUACGUGAUCUCACUGCAUUCUAAUCCCUUUGCACCACGCACAACCUACUCAAAAGCCAGCUUUCUCACUUCUAUCAUAUGCUCCUAGGCACGAACCAGAGGGAGCUGAUCUCCUUCACCACGAAAUGGGCCCAAGACCUACAAAUUAUCCUGACUUCUGCUGAUUGGAAAAAAAUAUUUUUAUUCGCACAUAGAUCUUCUAUGAAUGUAUCCACACAGGAGAGCAACUAUAAAUGAAUCUCUCAUUGGCACUACUCCCCCUCUACCCUUAACCGCAUGUUCCCCAACUCUAUAGAUACAUGCUGCAGAUGCCAUCAGCCAAACUGUGAUACCUCGCACAUAUGGUGGCAAUGCCCUGAAGUACACAAAUUUUGGAAACGAAUCACAACCUCCAUUAGGGCCAUAACUGGUACACCCCUUCCACUGGAAUCGUCCACACUCAUUCUAUACCUCUUCCCUCUCUCCCUCCCUACAUUUAAGACCGCCUUGACCAGACACCUCCUAACGGCUGCAAACCAGCUAAUUCCGUUGUUCUGGAAGCAAGCUAAGCUACCUACAAUUAGGGACUGGUAAUCCAUUAGAAUCAUGGAAAAGUUCUGUGCUACUCCCACAGUCAGGGAUACCAUAAGUAUACAGGUACAUGGGCACUUGUCACACCCACCUGGAGAUUCGUGAAGCUGAUGGAACCCACUUGCAGAUGAACAGCACUCCAAAAAAAAGUAAACGAAAAUUGCAGUCAGGCAGCAGGCAGAAGUAGUCGAUCAAUCUGGAUUUAAGUCAAGAAGCAGGCGGGAGCAAUCAUCAAAGGAAUCAAGGAUCAGGAACCAGGAACAUAAGCUGGAAAUUAGGGCAAUAGGCAGGUAUAAAGCAAUAAGCAAAAUAACCAAGCACUGACUGGAAGGUGUGGUGGGUUUAAAUAUUCCAUGCUACAUUUCUUUAUAGGCUCGAGCAGCAAGGUUUACUCUCUGUUACAUUAAUCUGCUCCGAUUGUUCUAUAGUUACUUCAUGCUGGUUUCAGGCGACUAUUUAAGUUAUUUCUAAACGUUGAAUGACAUAAUCUAUCUUACGUAUACACCUUAUAAUAUGCAGGCAAAAGUAUUCACAGCUACUGCACUGAUGCGUACAUUGGUUUGGUUUACUCUCUCCCAUUAGUAAUGCCUAGGGGCUUAACAUGCCUCAAUACUCGUUGUCUUGCUUGAUAUGUUACCCAAUGUACUGCACCGAUUGUAUGAAAAACCGAUCUUGAUCUAGGACACUCCAAGCCUACAUGUAUGUCAUAAUUUUAUUAUGCGUCUUGUAUGAGAUUGAUUUAUAACUGUCUGUAUUCUUACAUUCAAUCUUAAUAAAACAAAAAGACAAAAACAAAAAAAAGAAUAUAAAAGGCUUGAAAAGAAAAAAAAAGAAAGUGGAAAGAGGAGACAAUAGGCGUUCUGGUCGUUAGGACAAAGGGAAGGUGAUUGUAAAGACCCCUCGGGGGAGUAGAGGUCCAUUCAAGACACUCAAACACAUAUUGCGGGGAACAGCGCAGGGAGGAGAGGAGCCCCACCCAUACCUCUCGUGUUUCCAGACCCUUUUUCAACCCUGUCUGGAAAAUGCACUUCUGGAAAUAAGAUAAGGAAACCGUUAUUUAAAAAAUAAUAAUUUUUAAAAAUUGGAUUUUUUUUGCCUUUUAGUUUUUCUUUAACAUUUCCAUUAAUACAGUUUAUAGUUUGUUUACUAAACAGGGCAUUGAGGAGAAUUCAUAAGAGAAUUACAAAUUAGCCCAAAACUGUAAAAAUGCUCUUACCAUAUGUUUCCAUCUCUGCUGAUUCCAACCUGUGAUUUGCAAUUCUAUUCAAUGCUUCAUAUAGUGAAUAAAACCCAGUGUAAUUCAAUGUCAUGCCCACAUUCUUUUUUGACAGAUUUGCUUUCAACUACCAGAGUUGUGCUUAGCAUUUUAGAUAUUGGUUACCUUGCAGCUAUCUUCAAAAGCCGUUCAUAUUGAAUAUUGUUAAUGGCAACCAAACACCACGCUUGAGGCAACCAUUUAAUAUAGUUUUUAAUAAUCUAUCUUGGCAACCCAGCUCUGUUAUUAGUAUUGUUCCCCUUUACACUAGGAGGGGCCUUGGUCCUUUUAUUUAAAGUUUUCAUUACUACAGGGAGUGCAGAAUUAUUAGGCAAGUUGUAUUUUUGAGGAUUAAUUUUAUUAUUGAACAACAACCAUGUUCUCAAUGAACCCAAAAACUCAUUAAUAUCAAAGCUGAAUAUUUUUGGAAGUAGUUUUUAGUUUGUUUUUAGUUAUAGCUAUGUUAGGGGAUAUCUGUGUGUGCAGGUGACUAUUACUGUGCAUAAUUAUUAGGCAACUUAACAAAAAACAAAUAUAUACCCAUUUCAAUUAUUUAUUAUUACCAGUGAAACCAAUAUAACAUCUCAACAUUCACAAAUAUACAUUUCUGACAUUCAAAAACAAAACAAAAACAAAUCAGUGACCAAUAUAGCCACCUUUCUUUGCAAGGACACUCAAAAGCCUGCCAUCCAUGGAUUCUGUUAGUGUUUUGAUCUGUUCACCAUCAACAUUGCGUGCAGCAGCAACCACAGCCUCCCAGACACUGUUCAGAGAGGUGUACUGUUUUCCCUCCUUGUAAAUCUCACAUUUGAUGAUGGACCACAGGUUCUCAAUGGGGUUCAGAUCAGGUGAACAAGGAGGCCAUGUCAUUAGAUUUUCUUCUUUUAUACCCUUUCUUGCCAGCCACGCUGUGGAGUACUUGGACGCGUGUGAUGGAGCAUUGUCCUGCAUGAAAAUCAUGUUUUUCUUGAAGGAUGCAGACUUCUUCCUGUACCACUGCUUGAAGAAGGUGUCUUCCAGGAACUGGCAGUAGGACUGGGAGUUGAGCUUGACUCCAUCCUCAACCCGAAAAGGCCCCACAAGCUCAUCUUUGAUGAUACCAGCCCAAACCAGUACUCCACCUCCACCUUGCUGGCGUCUGAGUCGGACUGGAGCUCUCUGCCCUUUACCAAUCCAGCCACGGGCCCAUCCAUCUGGCCCAUCAAGACUCACUCUCAUUUCAUCAGUCCAUAAAACCUUAGAAAAAUCAGUCUUGAGAUAUUUCUUGGCCCAGUCUUGACGUUUCAGCUUGUGUGUCUUGUUCAGUGGUGGUCGUCUUUCAGCCUUUCUUACCUUGGCCAUGUCUCUGAGUAUUGCACACCUUGUGCUUUUGGGCACUCCAGUGAUGUUGCAGCUCUGAAAUAUGGCCAAACUGGUGGCAAGUGGCAUCGUGGCAGCUGCACGCUUGACUUUUCUCAGUUCAUGGGCAGUUAUUUUGCGCCUUGGUUUUUCCACACGCUUCUUGCGACCCUGUUGACUAUUUUGAAUGAAACGCUUGAUUGUUCGAUGAUCACGCUUCAGAAGCUUUGCAAUUUUAAGAGUGCUGCAUCCCUCUGCAAGAUAUCUCACUAUUUUUGACUUUUCUGAGCCUGUCAAGUCCUUCUUUUGACCCAUUUUGCCAAAGGAAAGGAAGUUGCCUAAUAAUUAUGCACACCUGAUAUAGGGUGUUGAUGUCAUUAGACCACACCCCUUCUCAUUACAGAGAUGCACAUCACCUAAUAUGCUUAAUUGGUAGUAGGCUUUCGAGCCUAUACAGCUUGGAGUAAGACAACAUGCAUAAAGAGGAUGAUGUGGUCAAAAUACUCAUUUGCCUAAUAAUUCUGCACUCCCUGUACAAUGCAUGUUAAUAACACGUACACCGAUCAGCAACAACAUCAAAACCACUGACAGGUGAAGUGAAUAACAAUGAUUCUAUCGUUACAAUGCCAUCUGUCAAGGCAUGUGAUAUAUUAGGCAGCAAGUGAACAGUCACCUCUUGAAUUUCAUGAGUUGGAAGCAGCAAAAAUGGGUAAGCGAAAAGAUCUGACUAACUUUAACAAGGGCCAAAACGUGAUGGCUAGAUGGCUGGGUCAGAGCAGGGCCGGGGGGAGCAAGAUUCAAAUGGAAGGAGGGAAGUGCACUGCGCUCCUUCCUGCUAGUCAUUCAGUAGUGCCAUCUCCCAUCCCUUAGUGCCAUCUCCCAUCCAUUCCCUGUUGUGUCUCCUACCUCUUUGUAGCGUGGCCGAGCAGCGCGGACUGUGGUACAGGAGCUAUCUGUACCCGUCCAAACUGAAAGGAAGUGCUCUCUCAGUAAGGAAACAGAAGCUCCUGUACCGCGGUCUGCACCGCCGGGCCACGCUACAAAGAGGUAGGAGACACAACAGGGAAGGGAUGGGAGAUGGCACUAAGGGACACUGGGGGGGAGGAGAGACCACUAAGGGACACUGGGGUGGGGGAGGAGACUCAGGAGAGAGCACUAAGGGACACUGGGGAGGGAGGAGAGACCACUAAAGGACACUUGGUGUUGGGGGAGGAGAGACCACUAAGGGACACUGGAAGGGAGGAGAGACCACUAAGGGAAAGAUGGGGGGAGUAGAGGCCACUGAGGGAAAGGUGGGGGGAGUAGGAGAGACCACUAAGGGAAAUGUGGGGGGGAGGAGAGACCACUAAGGGACACGGGGGAGGAGAGACCACUAAGGGACACUGUGCGGGGGGGACAGACCACUAAGGGACACUGAGGGGGAGGAGAGACAACUAAGGGACACGGGGGGGGAGAGACCACUAAAGGACACUGGGGGUGAGCUUCCUGUACCCAUCCGAACUGAAAGGAAGUGAUCUCUAAGUAAGGAAACAGAAGCUCCUGUACUGUGGUGUGCACCGCCGGGCCACGCUACAAAGAGGUAGGAGACACAACAGGGAAGGGAUGGGAGAUGGCACUAAUGGACACUGGGGGGGGGGAGGAGAGACCACUAAGGCACACUGAGGUGGGGGAGGAGAGACCACUAAGGGACACUGAGGAGGGAGGAGAGACCACUAAGGGACACUGGGGCUUGGGGGAGUAAGACACACAAAGUGGUUGGGAGGAUGUAGGAUCCAUACAAAGUGGGGGGGGCGGGGGUAAGAGACACACAAGGGGCUUGUAAGAGAUACACUAAAGGGGAGUGUAAGGCACAAAACUUAAAUAAAAUAAAUGCAAAAAAAAUAAUACUAACAAAUAAAUAUAAUAAUAAAAAUAAAGAGCUGCUCCUCUCUCAGCCCCUAUCUCUCUUUCACACUACACACAUAGACAAUGCAUCCUUACACAUACACAGAAACACACAUGCACAGAAUGCAUCCACAGACACACUGAAACAUACAAUGCAUCCUACACUCACACUCACACAGAAACACAGCAUGCUUCCCACAAAGAAAACACACAAUGCAUCCCUUACACACAAUUCAGCCCUUGCACACAUACACAAAAGCACACAAUGCAUCCCUUACAUACACACACACACUGCUUCUCUUAAUGCAUAUUUUACACACACUCAAUGCACCCCUUACAGGCACACACUGCAUUACAUUACAUACAUAGAAACAAACCUUUCAUCCCUUACACAUACAAACACAGAUUCACACAAUGCACCCCUUACACAUACACAGACACACACUGCAUCCCCUAUACACACCGACUACAUCCAUUACACAAACUGGUAUCCCUAUACAUUCCAUUCCAUAAGAACACACAUAUUACAUCCUCUAUAAUAACACAUAACGCAUCCCCUACACACAUACACUCCACUCCCUGUGAGCGAACUCAUGGGUGGACCUUGUAGGCAUCAGGCUUAUGGGUGGGCCUUGUAGGCAUACUCACGGUCAGGCCCUGGGUGCCCAGACCGUGAUCUAUGUAAGGGGCCCCCAAAAAUGGAGCUGCUUCCUGUUCGUUGUUAUUGUGAACACUGCCUCCAGAGAGCCUGUUUUAACACCAGACCAGUGGAGUCAGACUGCAGCCUGAGCCCAUCAUCAUCCUCUUGUCCUCAUCUGUUGGUAAGUUGGCAAUCCAGUAUAUUACUAGUGGCACUAAUCCCUAAUUUACCUCAAAUUAAAGGGACAAUAUAGUCACCAGAACCCUCUACAGCUUAAUGUAGUUGUGCUGGUGUCUAUAGCCUGUCUCUGCAGGCUUUUUAAUGUAAACACACUGCCUUUUAAGAAAAAAGACACUGUGUGCAGCACUGGCGUUGGCCCUUAUGGCAGAUCAUAUGGGUGGGACAAUGUGAUGGGGGAGGGGGGAGCAAAUUUUUGUUUGCCUAGGGCGGCAAAAAUCUUUGCACCAGCCCUGGGUCAGAGCAUCUCCAAAACGACAAGACUACCAAAAGUGGUGCAAGGAAGGACAACUGGUGACUCGGCAUCAAGGCUCAUUGAUGCACGUGGGGAGCGAAUGCUAGCCCGUCUGGUCUGAUCACACAGAAUAGCUACUGUAGCUCAAAUUGCUAAAAAGAAAUGCUGGCCAUGAUAGAAAGGGGUCAGAACAUACAGUGUAAGCAGUUUGCUGCAUUUGGGUUAGCAUAGCCACAAACCGGUCAGAGUGCCAUGAUGACCACUGUCCACGACUGAAAGCGCUUUCAAUGGGGGCUUGAGCCUCAGGAAGGCUAGACGUCGAAAUGUUGGAGUUGUAUUAUCGCCUGCUUUAGGUCAGUGUGCCUGCAUUGUUAGGGGCUUAUGGGUUUCAAAUUUGAGGACUUACUAUUGUGUAUAAAUUGGUUAUGGGUAUGUUAUCAAUUGUUUACAUGCCUGAACUGUUUUUUGCACGUUCUUUGUAUAACUUGUAUUAAUCCACUGUAUGAAUAAAAAUCUUUUUAUGCGCAAAUUUACUCUGGUGUGCUUUGGUUUAUUUUCUACUCUGACUGUGCUUCGUUUACCUGGGGAAGAGAUGGCAGAAGGAUGCCCUGUUGGAAGAAAGCAAAUUUCAAGAGAACAAAUUCAGAGGGCAAAUCAGAUGGAUAAUGCAAUUAAAAAGCAAUUACAAAAAAUAAUUAAAAUAAAAUAUUACAUACAUUAUAAUCAAUCUGUGAAUAUAUCUUUGGAAUUCAUAUUCAACCAAAUACAAUAUAAGUGUUAAGACCUGCAGUGGUUAUGGUACUGUGGUCUUCUAUUCCUUCCACAUUAGCUGAGCAUAAGUGAUUAUAACUGCAGUAGGAGGUAGAGGAAUAGUGUAGAUGAAUGCAGCUUCCAAGAUGAUUCUCCCCAGCAAAUAGAAUAUUCCCCAAACAUGAGCCUAGACUUCAUGAAGGGUGUCACAGGAAUGAUGUUUAUUGAUGACACACUGGCUUUUAUGAGAAAUCCUCCUGCAAGAGGACCUCCGACAGUAAACAAAGACAAUAACCCAUCAACAUACAGCUAUACAGUAACCCCCGCCCUCUCUCUGCCUGAGAGAUAUUGAGAUAAGUUAAGGAAUAACCCAAUUAUCUCCAGGCAGAGGGCACACAAUUUUCCCAAAAGUUAGAACACCCCUUUCCACACAAGGUAUCCCCCCGAUUUGGGGGACCAACAUAUCCAAAUUUCACCCAGAUCGGUUCAGGGGUUCUUAAAAAGUAUGGAAGUCACAAGUUACCGACCACACACGAGACUCCUGCCCAAAACAGUUCCACGAAUUCAGCGUGUGCGGUCGGUCAAUUCAGAAAAAGGCAUAAAACGAAUAGAAGUCCCGAAUGGAUCCUCCUGGCUCAUAGGAGCGAUUGCUCCUCUUGUCUGUAUGAACAAAACUAUCGAAUGGCACUCUCCUGGCUGUUCGGCAACUAAAGGAAGCAGGCGUUCGGUAGUUUCAGCAUUGGUUCGGGAGGUCGCAUGUCCGAUUUUAGUUCCAGACACUCAACGACCAAGUCCCGCUUCCUCCUUUCGUGCAAACAAGAUGGCCGCCGUUUUCUGUUCCACGUGGCAUUCGGCUAUACGAACAACGGCCGCCCAGAGAGCGCUUAACCCCUUAAGGACCAAACUUCUGGAAUAAAAGGGAAUCAUGACAUGUCACACAUGUCAUGUGUCCUUAAGGGGUUAAUAGAUGGUUCUUUUGAAGUUAAUGAACCAAUAGAUUCAACAUGUACAAAAUACUGCAGAAAAAGCCAAAGCAUAGGAGAAAAUACCAAACUAAGUCUAUUUUCUUCACAAUAAGUAAUUAAGAGAUAGUGCUCGCUCAUUUAGCUUAUGUCACACAACUCCUCUAGGCAUCCUAAUAUGCGCUCUGAGCUGUUUCAGUCCUUUAAAUUGUACGUGAUCUUGCAUAUGAGUUCUGCUUAUUGACCAAAUAGGACUUAAAGGGACACUGUAGACACUGUAACCAUUUUAUCUCAUUGAAUUAGUUAUAGUACCUGGAGUCAUCUGACACACUCCCACCAUUCAGUGUUAAACCAUUCAGUGUUAAACCAUUUCAGAGAAAGUUAACACUAAAUGAGGGGCCCUGCCCACCCACCGCCUGACCACUCCAUACACCUGGAGGUAUGCUAAGACGGAGAUUACACACUUCCUUGUACCCACACCAAUACAUACCAGCAAUGGGCACUGUGGUAGGGUGAAUGAGGUCAACUGGCACUCUCAGCCAAUCACAGCUGCCUCAUUAGCCCAAGCUGCACAUAGGGGUUGGGUUGCUGGGGACUCUUGUUUAGCAUUAAAAUAUAAAAAAACGGUUCAAUCUGCUGUGCUUGCUAUUUGUGGAUAGCAGAAGGACAGCCUGUGAGAGGUAUUUUCUGCUCUUCCUUGUCAGUUAGAGUCUAUGCCAAAGAUAUGACUAACAGGUGGGAGAAAGACCUAUUUUUUAAAGUAGAUGUUACCUCUGACACUAAAACGUUUGUGCACACUAUCUACAUGCUGUGUUAGACCAUCUUGAUUUAGCUUUACAUACAUACUACAUUGGUUAGUUUAAACUCUUCCUUUGUAUGUCCCUUCCCCAUGCAGUGCUUGGCUAUCUUAUCUGGUAAGUGUUGUACCAGCAUGAGACAUAUAUGGUAAUUAUGUGACGAUUCCAAUCUGCCGGGUCACCAGUCGCAGUGUUCUGUGCUUUAAUCACAGGUAUCUCCAUUCUGCCAUGUUCCCCCCCAAUUUUGUGUUACCAUUUUUACUGACCCUAAAUUUUACUAAUGACUCCAAUAUCUCUGUAAGUAUAAUUGAUAUAUAUACUGUUUGAUAUCCCCAUUCUAUAAUGGUAAAGUGCUGUGGUAAAUGCUAAUAACAAUAUUAAUGGCGAUAUUAAUGAGGCAAUGACCUUGUCAUUUUAGUUUAACCCAGUAGAACCCCCUAUAUUGCCUGUGUAGGUAGCAAUACUCUUUCCUUAUCAUUAUGACUGUCCUCAGAAUGACUGGUUCUGCUGGUUUAGUAAAAGUUACUGUUCUUAGAAUAUCAUUUGACUGUAAGACAAAUAAACAGUUGGGACCUUUUAAGGCGAUCAAUGUUUGGAAAUUCAUUGACUGUGCUUAGAGUGUUAGCCUCUUCUAAUUAACCACAGGUCUUCAUGCACUCCCCCAAUGUCCACCUUCCCAUCAUUAUUGAUUAUUAUAAUUUAAAGGGAUACUCUAAACAUCAUAACAACUAUUACUCACUAUGGUUACAGUGAAAGAAAUCUUGAGCUGCUGUACCACCAUCUAUUGUCAAACAAAUUUUUAGUAGUUUGACAAAAAUGAGGCUCUCCUAGCAUGCAAAGCAUGUUCCCUCACCUCAUUGCUCAGUUAAAACAUCUUCAUUUAAUGCUUCUUUUAAACCCCCUCUUUGAUUUCUUACCCCCUUUUGUGUUCCCUACACCCUACUUUUAAAUGUAUUGCCACCUUUACUGAAUCUUAUUCCCUUUGUGUGUCUUACAUACCCGUUGAGUGUCUUUUACACUCUUCAGAAGGAUAUUGAUACCUUAGAGAGGGUUCAGAGAAGGGCUACUAAACUGGUUCAUGGAUUGCGGGAUAAAACUUACCAGGAAAGGUUAAAGGAUCUUAACAUGUAUAGCUUGGAGGAAAGACGAGACAGGGGGGAUAUGAUAGAAACAUUUAAAUAUAUAAUGGGAAUCAACACAGUAAAGGAGGAGACUAUAUUUAAAAGAAGAAAAACUACCACAACAAGAGGACAUGGUCUUAAAUUAGAGGGACAAAGGUUUAAAAAUAAUAUCAGGAAGUAUUACUUUACUGAGAGGGUAGUGGAUGCAUGGAAUAGCCUUCCAGCUGAAGUGGUAGAGGUUAACACAGUAAAGGAGUUUAAGCAUGCGUGGGAUAGGCAUAAGGCUAUCCUAACUAUAAGAUAAGACUAGGGACUAAUGAAAGUAUUUAGAAAAUUGGGCAGACUAGAUGGGCCGAAUGGUUCUUAUCUGCCGUCACAUUCUAUGUUUCUAUGUUUUACAACCCCUCUUGUGUGCCUUUUUCUUCCAUCUAGUCCCUUUGUGUGCCUUUCACCCCCAGCCCCUUUGUGUGCCACUAUAUCCCCAUAGCCCCUUUGUGUGUCUCUUACCAACCAGCCCUUCAGUGUUUCUAUUUAUCCCCCUAGCCUAUGUGUGUGUCUCUUUCUCCUCCCCAGCCACUUUGUCUGUCUCCUACUUCCCCCCAGCCCUUCGGUAUGUCUCUUUCUCCCCCCCCCAGAUCCUCUGCGUGUCUCUCCUUCAACCCCUCUCUUUGCCCCAUCCCCUUUCUGUGUCUCUUUCUCCCCCUAGCCCCUCUGGGGGUCUUUUCCCCCAGCUCCUAUGUGUGUCUCUUUUCCCCUUCCCCAGCCCCUUUUAUGUAUCUCUUUCUCUACAUCCCCUGUGUAUUUUUCCCCAUCCCUUCUGGGUGUGUCUCCCCUCCCCAGUUCCAAGCUUGGAAUUACAUACAUGUGAUAUUUUUUUUACUAUUGUGUGUAUAUGCAUUUUUUCUUUUUCCCCAGCUUGCAAAGACAUGCAAUCUUCUGGACUGAUUUCCGGGACAGAUACCUCCCAUACCUCACAUUCACAAAGCCACAGCAGCACUACAGAGAGGAAAACAGGCAAUCUAAACAUCAGUCUUGAC